rnacentral:piRNA from 1 species
UCCCAAACCAGCUGGGUUCAGAGG